UCUCCGAUAGUAUAGUGGUUAGUAUGCCAGCCUGUCACGCUGGCGGCCCGGGUUCAAUUCCCGGUCGGGGAG
rnacentral:tRNA from 1 species